CCUACGGGAGGCAGCAGUGGGGAAUAUUGCUCAAUGGGGGAAACCCUGAAGCAGCAACGCCGCGUGGAGGAUGAAGGUUUUAGGAUUGUAAACUCCUUUUGUUAGAGAAGUUUAUGACGGUACCUAUCGAAUAAGCACCGGCUAACUCCGUGCCAGCAGCCGCGGUAAUACGGAGGGUGCAAGCGUUAUUCGGAUUGACUGGGCGUAAAGCGUGCGUAGGCGGGGUAAUAAGUCAGAUGUGAAAUCCUGUAGCUUAACUAUAGAACUGCAUUUGAAACUGUUAGGCUGGAGUGUGGGAGAGGUAGGCGGAAUUCGUGGUGUAGGGGUAAAAUGCGUAGAGAUCACGAAGAAUACUCAUUGCGAAGGCGACCUGCUGGAACAUUACUGACGCUGAUGCACGAAAGCGUGGGGAGCAAACAGGAUUAGAUACCCGUGUAGUC
rnacentral:rRNA from 1 species